UUCCGGUUGAUCCUGCCGGACCUGACUGCUAUCGGAUUGAUACUAAGCCAUGCGAGUCUUUGUAGUAAUACAAGGCAUACGGCUCAGUAACACGUAGUCAACCUACCCUAUGGACGAGAAUAAUCUCGGGAAACUGAGCAUAAUUCUUGAUAGAUCAUAAUGCCUGGAAUGGUUUAUGGUUAAAAUGAUUCGUCGCCAUAGGAUGGGACUGCGGCCUAUCAGCUUGUUGGUGAGGUAAUGGCCCACCAAGGCGAUUACAGGUACGGGCCCUGAGAGGAGAAGCCCGGAGAUGGGUACUGAGACACGGACCCAGGCCCUAUGGGGCGCAGCAGGCGAGAAAACUUUGCAAUGUGCGAAAGCACGACAAGGUUAAUCCGAGUGAUUUCUGCUAAAGAAAUCUUUUGUCAGUCUUAAAAGCACUGGCGAAUAAGGGGUGGGCAAGUUCUGGUGUCAGCCGCCGCGGUAAAACCAGCACCUCAAGUGGUCAGGAUGAUUAUUGGGCCUAAAGCAUCCGUAGCCGGCUUUGUUAGUUUUCGGUUAAAUCCAUGUGCUCAACGCAUGGGCUGCCGAAAAUACUGCAUAGCUAGGGAGUGGGAGAGGUAGACGGUACUCAGUAGGAAGGGGUAAAAUCCUUUGAUCUAUUGAUGACCACCUGUGGCGAAGGCGGUCUACCAGAACACGUUCGACGGUGAGGGAUGAAAGCUGGGGGAGCAAACCGGAUUAGAUACCCGGGUAGUCCCAGCUGUAAACGAUGCUGACUCGAUGAUGCAUUGGCAUAAUAGCCAGUGCAGUGUCGCAGGGAAGCCGUUAAGUCUGCCGCCUGGGAAGUACGUACGCAAGUAUGAAACUUAAAGGAAUUGGCGGGGGAGCACCACAAGGGGUGAAGCCUGCGGUUCAAUUGGACUCAACGCCGGGA
rnacentral:rRNA from 1 species